rnacentral:rRNA from 1 species
UACAGAGGGGGCAAGCGUUGUUCGGAAUUACUGGGCGUAAAGGGCGCGUAGGCGGCCUGUUAAGUCGAACGUGAAAUCCCCGGGCUCAACCCGGGAACUGCGUCCGAUACUGGCUGGCUUGAAUCCGGGAGAGGGAUGCGGAAUUCCAGGUGUAGCGGUGAAAUGCGUAGAUAUCUGGAGGAGCACCGGUGGCGAAGGCGGCAUCCUGGACCGGUAUUGACGCUGAGGCGCGAAAGCCAGGGGAGCAAACGGG